GACGAACGCUGGCGGCGUGCUUAACACAUGCAAGUCGAACGGAAAGGCCCUGCUUUUGUGGGGUGCUCGAGUGGCGAACGGGUGAGUAACACGUGAGUAACCUGCCCUUGACUUUGGGAUAACUUCAGGAAACUGGGGCUAAUACCGGAUAGGAGCUCCUGCUGCAUGGGGGGGGUUGGAAAGUUUCGGCGGUUGGGGAUGGACUCGCGGCUUAUCAGCUUGUUGGUGGGGUAGUGGCUUACCAAGGCUUUGACGGGUAGCCGGCCUGAGAGGGUGACCGGCCACAUUGGGACUGAGAUACGGCCCAGACUCCUACGGGAGGCAGCAGUGGGGAAUAUUGCACAAUGGGCGGAAGCCUGAUGCAGCAACGCCGUGUGCGGGAUGACGGCCUUCGGGUUGUAAACCGCUUUCGCCUGUGACGAAGCGUGAGUGACGGUAAUGGGUAAAGAAGCACCGGCUAACUACGUG
rnacentral:rRNA from 1 species